rnacentral:rRNA from 1 species
GAUGAACGCUAGCGGGAGGCUUAACACAUGCAAGUCGAGGGGCAGCAUAGGGUAGCAAUACUCUGAUGGCGACCGGCAAACGGGUGAGUAACGCGUAUGUAACCUACCCUGUACAGGGGGAUAACCCGGAGAAAUUCGGACUAAUAUCCCAUAACAAUAUCCGGGGGCAUCUUUGGAUAUUUAAAGUUCCGGCGGUACGGGAUGGGCAUGCGUAACAUUAGCUAGUUGGUAAGGUAACGGCUUACCAAGGCUUUGAUGUUUAGGGGUCCUGAGAGGGUGGUCCCCCACACUGGUACUGAGACACGGACCAGACUCCUACGGGAGGCAGCAGUGAGGAAUAUUGGUCAAUGGGCGCAAGCCUGAACCAGCCAUCCCGCGUGCAGGAAGACGGCGCUAUGCGUUGUAAACUGCUUUUGUACGGGAAGAAAAACGCCACGUGUGGUGUCUUGCCGGUACCGUACGAAUAAGGAUCGGCUAACUCCGUG